AGGUGAAAAGUACCCCGGAAGGGGAGUGAAAUAGAACCUGAAACCGUGUGCCUACAACAAGUUCGAGCCCGUUAAUGGGUGAGAGCGUGCCUUUUGUAGAAUGAACCGGCGAGUUACGAUAUGAUGCGAGGUUAAGUUGAAGAGACGGAGCCGUAGGGAAACCGAGUCUUAAUAGGGCGAAUUAGUAUUAUGUCGUAGACCCGAAACCAUGUGACCUACCCAUGAGCAGGUUGAAGGUGCGGUAAGACGCACUGGAGGACCGAACCAGGGCACGUUGAAAAGUGCUUGGAUGACUUGUGGGUAGCGGAGAAAUUCCAAACGAACUUGGAGAUAGCUGGUUCUCUCCGAAAUAGCUUUAGGGCUAGCGUCGACAUUUGAGAAUCUUGGAGGUAGAGCACUGUUUGGAUGAGGGGGCCAUCUCGGUUUACUGAUUUCAGAUAAACUCCGAAUGCCAAUGAUUUAUGGUCGGCAGUCAGACUGCGAGUGCUAAGAUCCGUAGUCGAAAGGGAAACAGCCCAGACCACCAGCUAAGGUCCCAAAAUAAUUGUUAAGUGGAAAAGGAUGUGGGGUUGCACAGACAACUAGGAUGUUAGCUUAGAAGCAGCUAUUCAUUCAAAGAGUGCGUAAUAGCUCACUAGUCGAGUGACCCUGCGCCGAAAAUGUACCGGGGCUAAAACAAUUUACCGAAGCUGUGGAUAACAC
rnacentral:rRNA from 1 species